rnacentral:tRNA from 1 species
GCGGGCGUGGCGGAAUGGCAGACGCACCAGACUUAGGAUCUGGCGCCGCAAGGUGUGGAGGUUCAAGUCCUCUCGCCCGCACCA